rnacentral:rRNA from 1 species
UACGUAGGGUGCGAGCGUUGUCCGGAAUUAUUGGGCGUAAAGAGCUCGUAGGCGGUUUGUCACGUCUGCUGUGAAAUCCCGAGGCUCAACCUCGGGCCUGCAGUGGGUACGGGCAGACUAGAGUGUGGUAGGGGAGACUGGAAUUCCUGGUGUAGCGGUGAAAUGCGCAGAUAUCAGGAGGAACACCGAUGGCGAAGGCAGGUCUCUGGGCCACUACUGACGCUGAGAAGCGAAAGCAUGGGGAGCGAACAGG